rnacentral:rRNA from 1 species
AUUGAACGCUGGCGGCAGGCCUAACACAUGCAAGUCGAACGAGUGGCGGACGGGUGAGUAAUGUCUGGGAAACUGCCUGAUGGAGGGGGAUAACUACUGGAAACGGUAGCUAAUACCGCAUACCAUCAGAUGUGCCCAGAUGGGAUUAGCUAGUAGGUGGGGUAACGGCUCACCUAGGCGACGAUCCCUAGCUGGUCUGAGAGGAUGACCAGCCACACUGAAACUGAGACACGGUCCAGACUCCUACGUGAGGCAGGAGUGGGGAAGAAUGCACAAUGGACGCAAGCCUGAUGCAGCCAGGCCGCGUGUAUGAAGAAUGCCUUCGGGUUGGAAAGUACUUUCAGCGGGGAGGCGUUACCCGCAGAAGAAGCACCGGCUAACUCCGUGCCAGCAGCCGCGGUAAUUC